rnacentral:rRNA from 1 species
ACGGGAGGCAGCAGUGGGGAAUAUUGCACAAUGGGGGAAACUCUGAUGCAGCGACGCCGCGUGAGUGAAGAAGUAUUUCGGUAUGUAAAGCUCUAUCAGCAAGGAAGAAAAUGACGGUACUUGACUAAGAAGCCCCGGCUAACUACGUGCCAGCAGCCGCGGUAAUACGUAGGGGGCAAGCGUUAUCCGGAUUUACUGGGUGUAAAGGGAGCGUAGACGGCAUAGCAAGUCUGAAGUGAAAUGCAUGGGCUCAACCCAUGAACUGCUUUGGAAACUGUUAAGCUAGAGUGCAGGAGGGGUAAGUGGAAUUCCUAGUGUAGCGGUGAAAUGCGUAGAUAUUAGGAGGAACACCAGUGGCGAAGGCGGCUUACUGGACUGUAACUGACGUUGAGGCUCGAAAGCGUGGGGAGCAAACAGGAUUAGAUACCCUGGUA